GACGAACGCUGGCGGCGUGCCUAAUACAUGCAAGUCGAACGCAGUGGGGACGGGUGAGUAACACGUGGGUAACCUCCCAUCAGAGGGGAUAACACUUGGAAACAGGUGCUAAACCGAUACUGAUGGAUGGACCCGCGGUGCAUUAGCUAGAUGGUGAGGUAACGGCUCACCAGGGCCACGAGGCAUAGCCGACCUGGGAGGGUGAUCGGCCACACUGGGACUGAGACACGGCCCAGACUCCUACGGGAGGCAGCAGUAGGGAAUCUUCGGCAAUGGACGAAAGUCUGACCGAGCAACGCCGCGUGUGUGAAGAAGGUUUUCGGAUCGUAAAACGCUGUUGUUAGAGAAGCGGUAUCUAACCAGAAAGCCACGGCUAACUACGUGCCAGCAGCCGCGGUAAUUC
rnacentral:rRNA from 1 species